rnacentral:rRNA from 1 species
UACGAGAGGCCCAAACGUUAUUCGGAAUUACUGGGCUUAAAGAGUUCGUAGGCGGCGCAGAAAGUGGGGUGUGAAAGCCCUCGGCUCAACCGAGGAAUUGCGCUCCAAACUACUGUGCUUGAGGAAGCUAGAGGUGAGCAGAACUGAUGGUGGGAGCGGUGAAAUGCGUUGAUAUCAUCAGGAAUACCGGAGGCGAAGGCGGCUCACUGGCCCGGUACUGACGCUGAGGUGCGAAAGCGUGGGGAGCAAACAGG